rnacentral:miRNA from 1 species
UGCAACGCUAUUAAAUAUACCUGAAAACCAAAUGUUAAUAGAGCCACCAAAAAUACAAAGUGGUGUUGCAGCCCUGUAUUGGUUUCGUACAGGUAUAUCAAAUGCCAGUACAG